rnacentral:snoRNA from 1 species
AGCCAGUGAUGACAAACAUAAAUUUUCUGACACCUCGUAUGAGAGCCGCAAGGUGGCUCCUGAUUCUAGCUCUGAUCUGAGGCUC